CUCGGAAGGGCAAUGAUGAAUAUUGAAUAAUCGGACAUAGUACGAUAAGGUUGUAUGUCCAAAGGGAAACAGCCCAGAACAAGUGUUUAAGGUUCCAAAAUUAUUGUUAAGUGAAAUUAAGGAAGUUUUUUUCAAAUACAACCAGGAAAUAGGCUUAGAAGCGGCCAUUUUUUAAAGACCUCGUAACAGAGCACUGGUUCAA
rnacentral:rRNA from 1 species